rnacentral:rRNA from 1 species
AACGAACGCUGGCGGCAUGCCUAACACAUGCAAGUCGAACGAUGCCUCCGGGCUUAGUGGCGCACGGGUGCGUAACGCGGGGGAAUCUGCCCUUGGGUUCGGAAUAACUCGCCGAAAGGCGAGCGAAUACCGGAUGAUGACGUAAGUCCAAAGAUUUAUCGCCCAAGGAUGAGCCCGCGUAGGAUUAGCUAGGUGGUGGGGUAAAGGCCCACCAAGGCGACGAUCCUUAGCUGGUCUGAGAGUAUGAUCAGCCACACUGGGACUGAGACACGGCCCAGACUCCUACGGGAAGCAGCAGUGGGGAAUAUUGGACAAUGGGCGAGAGCCUGAUCCAGCAAGGCCGCGUGAGUGAUGAAGGCCUUAGGGUUGUAAAGCUCUUUUAACCGGGCUGAUAAUGACAGUACCGGGAGAAUAAGCACCGGCUAACUCCGUG